rnacentral:rRNA from 1 species
AUAAUGGGUCAGCGACUUAUAUUCUGUAGCAAGGUUAACCGAAUAGGGGAGCCGAAGGGAAACCGAGUCUUAACUGGGCGUUAAGUUGCAGGGUAUAGACCCGAAACCCGGUGAUCUAGCCAUGGGCAGGUUGAAGGUUGGGUAACACUAACUGGAGGACCGAACCGACUAAUGUUGAAAAAUUAGCGGAUGACUUGUGGCUGGGGGUGAAAGGCCAAUCAAACCGGGAGAUAGCUGGUUCUCCCCGAAAGCUAUUUAGGUAGCGCCUCGUGAAUUCAUCUCCGGGGGUAGAGCACUGUUUCGGCAAGGGGGUCAUCCCGACUUACCAACCCGAUGCAAACUGCGAAUACCGGAGAAUGUUAUCACGGGAGACACACGGCGGGUGCUAACGUCCGUCGUGAAGAGGGAAACAACCCAGACCGCCAGCUAAGGUCCCAAAGUCAUGGUUAAGUGGGAAACGAUGUGGGAAGGCCCAGACAGCCAGGAUGUUGGCUUAGAAGCAGCCAUCAUUUAAAGAAAGCGUAAUAGCUCACUGGUCGAGUCGGCCUGCGCGGAAGAUGUAACGGGGCUAAACCAUGCACCGAAGCUGCGGCAGCGACGCUUAUGCGUUGUUGGGUAGGGGAGCGUUCUGUAAGCCUGUGAAGGUGUACUGUGAGGUAUGCUGGAGGUAUCAGAAGUGCGAAUGCUGACAUAAGUAACGAUAAAGCGGGUGAAAAGCCCGCUCGCCGGAAGACCAAGGGUUCCUGUCCAACGUUAAUCGGGGCAGGGUGAGUCGACCCCUAAGGCGAGGCCGAAAGGCGUAGUCGAUGGGAAACAGGUUAAUAUUCCUGUACUUGGUGUUACUGCGAAGGGGGGACGGAGAAGGCUAUGUUGGCCGGGCGACGGUUGUCCCGGUUUAAGCGUGUAGGCUGGUUUUCCAGGCAAAUCCGGAAAAUCAAGGCUGAGGC